rnacentral:sRNA from 1 species
AUGAUCCGAAGUACUCAAUGCAGGGUC